rnacentral:rRNA from 1 species
AUAUCAAUAAGCGGAGGAAAAGAAACCAACAGGGAUUGCCCUAGUAACGGCGAGUGAAGCGGCAACAGCUCAAAUUUGAAAUCUGGCCCUAGGCCCGAGUUGUAAUUUGCAGAGGAUGCUUUUGGCAAAGCGCUUACCGAGUCCCCUGGAACGGGGCGCCACAGAGGGUGAGAGCCCCGUAUGGUAUGACGCCGAGCCUCUGUAAAGCUCCUUCGACGAGUCGAGUAGUUUGGGAAUGCUGCUCUAAAUGGGAGGUAAAUUUCUUCUAAAGCUAAAUACCGGCCAGAGACCGAUAGCGCACAAGUAGAGUGAUCGAAAGAUGAAAAGCACUUUGAAAAGAGGGUUAAAUAGCACGUGAAAUUGUUGAAAGGGAAGCGCUCGUGACCAGACUUGCGCCGGGCGGAUCAUCCAGCGUUCUCGCUGGUGCACUCCGCCCGGCUCAGGCCAGCAUCGGUUUUCGCCGGGGGACAAAAGCUUCGGGAACGUGGCUCCCUUCGGGGAGUGUUAUAGCCCGUUGCUUAAUACCCCGGCGGGGACCGAGGACCGCGCUUCGGCAAGGAUGCUGGCGUAAUGGUCAUCAGCGACCCGUCUUGAAACACGGACCGAGGAGUCAAGCAUUAGUGCGAGUGUUUGGGUGUAAAACCCGCACGCGUAAUGAAAGUGAACGUAGGUGAGAGCUUCGGCGCAUCAUCGACCGAUCCUGAUGUUUUCGGAUGGAUUUGAGUAGGAGCAUUAACGCUUGGACCCGAAAGAUGGUGAACUAUACUUGAAUAGGGUGAAGCCAGAGGAAACUCUGGUGGAGGCUCGCAGCGGUUCUGACGUGCAAAUCGAUCGUCAAAUUGAGUAUAGGGCGAAAGACUAAUCGAC